GUGGGGAAUAUUGGACAAUGGGCGCAAGCCUGAUCCAGCCAUGCCGCGUGAGUGAUGAAGGCCUUAGGGUUGUAAAGCUCUUUUGUCCGGGAAGAUAAUGACUGUACCGGAAGAAUAAGCCCCGGCUAACUUCGUGCCAGCAGCCGCGGUAAUACGAAGGGGGCUAGCGUUGUUCGGAAUCACUGGGCGUAAAGCGCACGUAGGCGGACCAUUAAGUCAGGGGUGAAAGCCUGGAGCUCAACUCCAGAACUGCCUUUGAUACUGAUGGUCUCGAGUAUGGAAGAGGUUGGUGGAACUGCGAGUGUAGAGGUGAAAUUCGUAGAUAUUCGCAAGAACACCGGUGGCGAAGGCGGCCAACUGGUCCAUUACUGACGCUGAGGCACGAAAGCGUGGGGAGCAAACAGGAUUAGAUACCCGAGUAGUCC
rnacentral:rRNA from 1 species